AUGUUGUCAACAGGUUAACAUUGACUGGUUGAAAACAAACUAUUGAUUCCAAUUUUUUCUCUUCUACCAAUGCCUUUUGUACUUCACCAAAUCCUUCAAGUUCAGUUUUUCAUUUGCUUUCUCUCUCCGACUCUAACCUUCACCCAUAUUUGCUUCCGUUUUUUCAUAUGCUAUUCUUCUUCAUCUCCUUCACAUUAUGAGCAACUUCAAGCUGGUUAUCUGCAUGUAAUUAAUCAGACGAUGGAGUUAAUUACCGACGAGAAAAAAUGCCUAUACUUUGGUUAUGGUAAAACCAAACCCAACUAAACUUGCUAACUUUCCUGAGGUUGUUCUUGCUCCAGUCACACUUAGUCUUCUUCUCAAUACAUAUGCAAAGGCAGUUGUAUCUAUUCUUUGCUAAAAGGAUUGUAAAUUGCAUUGCUGUUGGUGCUGGAAUUGCUGGAAGGAUGACAUGUGCUGCCUCUUUGUUCGAUGUGGUGACCAAAGAUUCUGAGAAGAGGAAGGUUUCGACGGGUGGUGCUCACAUUAAGAUGAACGUGACACCGGGUUUGGGUGUUUGAGAGUCUGAUCAAUAAGGGAUUGUGAAGGAUAUGGGGGAUGAGAUAUAUAUUGUUACUUAUGUGGUGCCUAAGAGAGUGAAUUAUAUGGUUAAUGUUGAAUGUAAUGGCAAGCCAAUCAUGGGUAGUCCCUUCCUUGUGUUUUUCAGUGCAGGUAUUCAUCAUUACUCAUGUGCUGGCACUUUAAUGUUCAACGGGACAUACAACCAAUGGAAUGGGCGAUGCGACUCAGAGUUAUUAUGCAUAUUGCAUAAGCUCUAGAAUAUUGCACAAGCAAGGAGGGAACAUUCUCUGACCAUGUUAUUUCUCUAUACAAUUAUCAGUCGAAGUGCUUUGAGAUAUCUGCAUCAUGUUGGAAUUACAUGAAAGUGUUUUGAUGAAGUUUGUUUUUA